UCGCCCCCCACCUCGUUCCACUCCAUCUCCGAAAUCCCAACCCUAAGGGGAAAGGAUGGGAUAGAAUUCAGGGAGCAGCAAAGGCAAUGGCAGCGACGACGACGACAUGUUUCAAGAAGAACUGGGGUUACCCCGAAGGCAGCGAUGGCGCCAGAGAUAUGCGCCACCACCGUGUGCUCCACGACAACCACCGUCCUAGGUGUUCCGGCAAGGUCGGCAUGCACUACUUC
rnacentral:lncRNA from 1 species